rnacentral:lncRNA from 1 species
GUGAAUUAAUAUCUAGAACUGAGUCUACACUGUUAUGAGUCACCAUUUUCACACAACAAAUGAUGAGUCUGCAUUGUUGAUACUUCCAUAUAGAAUGGGAUUUGAGAAAGGGAAGGUUUUGUUUUAUGUAGAGUUUAGUGUAACUUCUAGGUUGUAUAUUAUUAAAAAUAAAAUCAUUGGUGAUUUUUACUCCUCAGAUGGAAAGCACAAGAAGUCUCAUAUUCAUUAAUAUGCAACAAGUGCUCUGUUCAUCUGCCUUUCUAUGGAUUUCAUAGAAAUGGCUUAAGUCGGUUAUUUUCUUUGAAAUUGUACUAACAGAUUGACCAGCUGGUAGAAGGUAGACAGAUGACUGAAUUAUACUGGAAUUGUCUGAGUGUUGCAGUUGAUUUUCAUUUCCCUAUGAAAGGGGCCAUUGUUCAUCCUUUCUCCACUGAUCAGGAUUUAGUCUUCACCAGGAAAGUUGGUUCAAGUUUCAGUAUUAGUCUCAUGAUAUGCAUAUUUUCUCUUCAGAGAUGAACUAUGUUGUAAGAUGCUCUAAGAAUAUAAAUGAUUCUAUGAUUGUUGAAAGUUACUUGACAUAUAGAUUGAAUAGUUUUAGCUAUUUUUCAAGAAUUAUGUUUUGUUUAUGUAAUAAUGUUUCUUAAUUUUUGAAACCUUGCCAGGUUUAUCUCUAGACAUUCUCUUAUCAUCAAGAAUGGCUAUGACUUUUUUCUUAGCUAUUAAUAGACUUAAAAGAACCAAAUUAUCAGAGGAAUUACUUUUGACAUAAUUCUAGUUUUCUCAUUGAUAAAAUUUUUUUUCCCACUCAGUUGACAGAAUGUGGUUAAAAAAAGAUAUGGUAGCAUUUGUCGUGUUGCUAUAACUCAGAACUUGUUUUUUUGAGCUGUAUUUGUUGGUGUGAGUAGUUUUUCUUAGUAUGGCCUAGAAAAUUGGUAUAAAUAAUAAAUCAUGGUUUUUUUCAUGUGGCUUUGAUGCCCUUGUAAACGUUAAUGAGGAAUUUCUCAUUUUUUCUUUUUUAAAAAUGUAAGCCUAAAGAAAAUUUCUAUUUAUUUUCCUAUUUCAGAGCUAAAAUUGAGCAAAGGAUGGACAUUCUAGUCUGGUAUAUUGUGCAUACUUUAGGUUUGCAUGUCAUAGAGCCCAAAGCCUGGCACUCCUCAGCAGGGGACUGAAUCUUAAUGCAGCACAAGUGCUUUUCCCCGUACUUAACAGUAUGUAACAGUAUGUUACAGUAUGUAACGGCACUAAAUUGGCCUUUGUGUGAUGAAAAUUCAGUUUUGGUGUUUGGAAACUUGGUAUUAAUUUAAUAGGAGUUGUUAGUUUUUAAAACAGUUUCAGACAACUAGUCUAAUCACCAGAUAAUAUGACAGGAGAAAGGAAAUCCUGCUUUCUCUGGCGAGAUGCCAGAGCAGAUCGUCUCACCAGAAUCCUGUAUUAGGAACCUCUGUGUCACUGUAACAUGUCAACGCAGAAAAUAGAACUUAAUUGGGUAAUUUUUUAAUGUGCAGAAACUUUAUCAUUUAUUACAAGUAAAACUAGUUCAUAUUUUGUAAGCACAAUUGCUUUUGUUUUUAGUUUCAUUAACAGUUAUCACUAAGAAUAGGAACAUUGUGUGUUGGGCUCAGAAGCAAAGAUGCUGGCUGAGAGGUGGAAGUAGUUUUUAUAAUUUGUUCGUGUUAUCUAAUGAUUUUACGUACUUUUAUAGACAGUUCAUUUUUUAAUAUAAUUUUGUUUCAAAGCCAAUAUACAUUACAAGGAAAACAGUAUUUAUUUAUAUGAGGUAUUAUUGUGCCAGAACAUAUCUGCUGUGGAGUAUGUAAUAUCUCUCAGAAUUAAUGUUAAAUUGUUUUAUUUCUAAAACAUACCAAAACAAGUUUCUAUUUAGAAACUUACCUGUUUUUCCUUUAGUAGAAGCAGAGACAUCCACAGCCUCAACAGAUCACACCAGCUGUCUCCUCCUCACUCACGAUAUCCCAGCUCCAUUUUUUUUUCUUUUUUUGGCUCUCUUUCUUAGCUAGUAUGCUACCUUGCCCCACGCUUAACCAAAAUUUUCUUAUAAACUCUUUCUUCUGUAUAUUGGCCACUGAACAGGUAGAAUUGAGACUUUGGUAAAGUUCACAAUGAAAGUGUUCAAUCCUGGAAGAGGUUUAGUUAACCAUUAUUUUUUAGGCUUCAUGAGAUGUAAAGAAAAUUGCCUUGGGAACCAUAAACAAUUCAUGCUCUUAUAUGACUCAAUACUAACAUUUUUACAAAGUACCUCUUCCUGCCCAUCUCAAGAAUAUAAGCCUGGAAUAUGCUAGGGAAUUGGAUAGGUAAGCCCACUUGAAGAACCUUGUUUUUCUGUUGGUUUUCAUUCUUACAUCCCAGCCUCCACUUCAGUUGAGUUUACAAGGCUGUACAAACAGUCAUAUUUGUCUUUGUGGUUUUUCUCCUUUCCCCAAUUUUAUGUUUUGUUUUGUUUUGUUUUGUUUUGUUUACUAAAAUACUUAAUGAGAUAUUAGUGAUAACUAAUGAACUGUCAAGAACAUCUAGAUUUAUGUUUAUAUGACAGUUAUGGGGCUUGUUUCCUGAGGCUCCUUUGGACUGUCUACAGAUUAUGUCAGAAGAAAUAGGUAGGGCCAAGGUUAGGAAGAGAUGGAAGAUUCAGAAGCCCAGGGCAGAGAGAUCAGUGAGGGUGAGAGGCUAGCAUUUGCCCUGGCUCCUGUCCUCACCCUGCUCUUAGAUCCGAGUUCAAAAAUAAGAUAAAACUCUACCUAUGAUGGCAGUGCUCAGGUAACUCAGGCAGAAGUACAGUCAAGUGCCAACCAUUUUAACUUUCUUGAUCAUAGCUGAUGGCCUUCCUGGGACAACCUGGAAGGUCAAAGCAAGAACUCUUGAGAUUAUUCUAGCUGCAACUACCAGUGGUGGCUGUGUAUAUUACUGCUGUGUAGAAACAUUAGUAGUGUUUUCAUUUUAGGUCCAAGUAAGAUGUUUUUAGUGAUAUACCUGCAGAAUGGCUCUGUCUUAAAACUGUGUAGAAAAACCCUAAUCUUUAGGAGCUUUCCCUAAGGAAAAAAAAAAAAAAGUUGUGCCUUACAUAGGGCGUUGUGUGUUAAUUAUAUUAAUAAGUGGGGGUAGCUUGUUCCCAUUAAAUGUAAGUUCUGUUAAUGUGUUUUUAUCAGAGUUGGGGGAAAGUCAUUAAAAUUAAAUAAAACUGAUGGAUUAUUUUUGCAUAAUGUAGCAUUUAUAGUUGAAGUACAUUUUUCUAAGAAUUGGAUCAUGAUGUAUAUAAGUCUGAAAUGAUGUUUCAUCAUUUGGUUUUUAAUUAAAUGUAAGACCAGGAUAGAUUGGAUUUUAAAAAUCUUACUUUUCAAUAAAUUAUUUCAGACAACUUCAUAUUUCUCUAAUUCUCUGGAGUAACUUUGGUUAAAAAAUAGCUGUUAGUGGUACAAAUUUGGUGGUCUCUUAGUUAAAUGAUAUUGUGUGUUGUUCCUAAUGAGGGAAGGAUUCUAAUCUUGACCAGCAAUGGUUGUGAGGGCUGCUUCUUCACAGUAGUGAAGUUCAGCAACAACAUGGUUCUGUGAGGUGCUGAUAUGCAUGUAAAUUGUUCUUUUCUUUCAUUAUCAAAGCCCAGCAGGUAUAUGUAUUCUGACUUCCCAUUGACAGGAUUUUUGUUUGUUUGUUUAUUUUUUAUUGUUAUUUUUUUGUUGGGCAGUAAAUUAAUUUAAUGGAAGAAAUGAGAUGUUUGCCUUUGAAAUAAUACAGGACAAACUCUGAAGAAUGAUGAAUAAUACUAAGACAGCUGAUUAUAUAUUGUGUUUGUGGUCAUUCCCUAAAGUUAUUAUAUAAUAUAUCUUAUAAAGUGCAAAAGCAGGGGUUGUAAUGUUUUGUCAGUAUAUUUAAUUAAUAUUUUAAGG